rnacentral:misc_RNA from 1 species
UUUCCUCAAGUACUGGGAACA